AAGGCAUACGGCUCAGUAACGCGUAGUCAACCUAACCUAUGGACGGGAAUAACCUCGGGAAACUGAGAAUAAUGCCCGAUAGAACAUUAUGCCUGGAAUGGUUUAUGUUCCAAAUGAUUUAUCGCCGUAGGAUGGGACUGCGGCCUAUCAGUUUGUUGGUGAGGUAAUGGCCCACCAAGACUAUUACAGGUACGGGCUCUGAGAGGAGUAGCCCGGAGAUGGGUACUGAGACACGGACCCAGGCCCUAUGGGGCGCAGCAGGCGAGAAAACUUUGCAAUGUGCGAAAGCACGACAAGGUUAAUCCGAGUGGUUUCUGCUAAAGAAACCUUUUGUCAGUCCUAGAAACACUGAUGAAUAAGGGGUGGGCAAGUUCUGGUGUCAGCCGCCGCGGUAAAACCAGCACCUCAAGUGGUCAGGAUGAUUAUUGGGCCUAAAGCAUCCGUAGCCGGCUCUGUAAGUUUUCGGUUAAAUCUGUACGCUCAACGUACAGGCU
rnacentral:rRNA from 1 species